UACAGAGGGGGCAAGCGUUGUUCGGAAUUACUGGGCGUAAAGGGCGCGUAGGCGGCCUUCUAAGUCGAACGUGAAAUCCCCGGGCUCAACCCGGGAACUGCGUCCGAUACUGGAAGGCUUGAAUCCGGGAGAGGGAUGUGGAAUUCCAGGUGUAGCGGUGAAAUGCGUAGAUAUCUGGAGGAACACCGGUGGCGAAGGCGACAUCCUGGACCGAUAUUGACGCUGAGGCGCGAAAGCCAGGGGAGCAAACGGG
rnacentral:rRNA from 1 species